GACGUAGGGUCCAAGCGUUGUCCGGAUUUACUGGGCGUAAAGAGCGCGUAGGCGGUCUGUUAAGUGUAGAGUGAAAUCUCCAGGGCUCAACCCGGAAACUGCUCUGCAUACUGGCAGACUGGAGUGAUGCAGAGGUUUGUGGAAUUCCUGGUGUAACGGUGAAAUGUGUUGAUAUCAGGAGGAACACCCAUGGCGAAGGCAGCAAACUGGGGCAUUAACUGACGCUGAGGCGCGAAAGCGUGGGUAGCAAACAGG
rnacentral:rRNA from 1 species